CCUACGGGCGGCAGCAGUGAGGAAUAUUGGUCAAUGGACGCAAGUCUGAACCAGCCAUGCCGCGUGCAGGAAGACGGCUCUAUGAGUUGUAAACUGCUUUUGUACGAGGGUAAACGCAGAUACGCGUAUCUGUCUGAAAGUAUCGGACGAAUAAGGAUCGGCUAACUCCGUGCCAGUAGCCGCGGUAAUACGGAGGAUUCAGGCGUUAUCCGGAUUUAUUGGGUUUAAAGGGUGCGUAGGCGGUCGGAUAAGUUAGAGGGGAAAUCCCGAGGCUCAACUUCGGAAUUGCCUCUGAUACUGUUCGGCUAGAGAGUAGGUGCGGUAGGCGGAAUGUAUGGUGUAGCGGUGAAAUGCUUAGAGAUCAUACAGAACACCGAUUGCGAAGGCAGCUUACCAAGCCACUUCUGACGUGGAGGCACGAAAGCGUGGGGAGCAAACAGGAUUAGAUACCCUUGUAGUC
rnacentral:rRNA from 1 species